AUGAAUUCUCAUAUCUUGAGGAGAGUCCAACAUAAUGCCUUGCAUGAAAAGGCAUCUGAUAAAAACACAACAAGCAGGUGUAACAGAAAUAACAAAAGGAAAUUCUUCUCUCUAAUUAGCAGUUUUCUGGAAAACUCCUUUGAAUCCAAGUUACCUCAUUGGACAUCUCAUUUGGUUUUAAGAAUUUGGUACGCAGAAAACAGUUACUUUUUCAACAGUUAUCUUAAUUAUUUCAAAAAGACAAAGCCCCCCUCACUCGCCGCAGACGGUCUGCUUUGCCGCGUGCUUCGACUACCCACAGUCCUUCGCCAGAUGAGACCAGUGUUUAGGGCACUGGCUCCUCAUCUCACUCCGGCUUAUGCCAAAGAUGUAAAAUUUGGUGCAGAUGCCCGAGCCUUAAUGCUUCAAGGUGUAGACCUUUUAGCCGACGCUGUAGCUGUUACAAUGGGGCCAAAGGGAAGAACGGUAAUUAUUGAACAGAGUUGGGGAAGUCCCAAAGUAACAAAAGAUGGUGUGACUGUUGCAAAGUCAAUUGAUUUAAAGGAUAAAUACAAAAAUAUUAGAGCUAAACUUGUUCAAGAUGUUGCCAAUAAUACAAAUGAAGAGGCCGGGGAUGGCACCACCACUGCUACUGUACUGGCACAUUCUAUUGCCAAAGAAGGCUUCGAGAAGAUUAGCAAGGGUGCUAAUCCUGUGGAAAUCAGGAGAGGUGUGAUGUUAGCUGUUGAUGCUGUAAUUGCUGAACUCAAGAAGCAGUCUAAACCUGUGACAACUCCUGAAGAAAUUGCUCAGGUUGCUACCAUUUCUGCAAAUGGAGACAAAGAAAUUGGCAACAUUAUUUCUGAUGCAAUGAAAAAGGUUGGAAGAAAGGGUGUGAUUACAGUAAAGGAUGGAAAAACACUUGAGGAUGAAUUAGAAAUUAUUGAAGGCAUGAAGUUUGAUAGAGGUUAUAUCUCUCCGUACUUUAUUAAUACAUCAAAAGGUCAGAAAUGUGAAUUCCAGGAUGCUUAUGUUCUGUUGAGUGAAAAGAAAAUUUCUAGCGUCCAGUCCAUUGUACCUGCUCUUGAAAUUGCCAAUGCUCACCGUAAACCGUUGGUCAUAAUUGCUGAAGAUGUUGAUGGAGAAGUUCUAAGUACACUUGUUUUGAAUAGGCUGAAAGUUGGUCUUCAGGUUGUGGCAGUUAAAGCUCCAGGUUUUGGUGACAACAGAAAGAACCAACUUAAAGAUAUGGCUAUUGCUACUGGUGGUGCAGUGUUUGGUGAGGAGGGUUUGACCCUAAAUAUUGAAGAUGUUCAGCCUCAUGAUUUAGGAAAAGUUGGAGAGGUCAUUGUCACCAAAGAUGAUGCCAUGCUUUUGAAAGGAAAAGGUGAUAAAGCUCAAAUUGAAAAGCAUAUUCAAGAAAUUACAGAGCAAUUAGAAAUGACAAAUAGUGAAUAUGAAAAGGAAAAACUGAAUGAACGACUGGCAAAACUUUCAGAUGGAGUAGCUGUGCUCAAGGUUGGUGGGACAAGUGAAUGAAAAGAAAGACAGAGUUACAGAUGCCCUCAAUGCUACGAGAGCUGCCGUUGAAGAAGGCAUUGUUCUGGGUGGGGGCUGUGCUCUGCUUCGGUGCAUUCCAGCCUUGGACUCACUAACUCCAGCUAAUGAAGAUCAGAAAAUUGGUAUAGAAAUCAUUAAAAGAACACUCAAAAUUCCUGCAAUGACUAUUGCUAAGAAUGCAGGUGUUGAAGACUCUUUAAUAGUGGAGAAAAUUCUGCAGAGUUCCUCAGAAGUUGGCUAUGAUGCUAUGCUUGGAGAUUUUGUGAAUAUGGUAGAAAAAGGAAUCAUUGAUCCAACAAAGGUUGUAAGAACUGCCUUAUUGGAUGCUGCUGGAGUUGCUUCUCUGUUAACUACAGCAGAAGUCGUAGUCACAGAAAUUCCUAAAGAAGAAAAGGACCCUGCAAUGGGUGGAAUGGGUGGAAUGGGAGGUGGUAUGGGUGGUGGCAUGUUCUAAUUCUCAGAAUAGUGCUUUACCAUUAUUAAUGAACUGUGACAGGAAGCUCAAGGCAGGGUUCCUCACCAAUAACUUCAGAGAAGUCAGUUGAAGAGAAUGACUGAAGAAAAGGCUGGUUGAUGUUUAAGAAAAUCACUAUCACCAUCAGUUACUGGUUUCAGUUGACAGUAUAUAAUGGUUUACUGCUGUCAUUGUCCAUGCCUACAAAUAAUUUAUUUUGUAUUUUUGAAUAAAGACAUUUGUACAUUCCUGA